UUCCAUGCUUUUUUUCUUGUUUUCCUUAUUCGGCCGAAUCUAUUUCCUUGAAAAAAAAAUUGUGUCGACUUGCUCUUUCGACGAAUCAACGGCUCUGCUUUCUUCCUCUCAUGCUCCUGAGGUUGGUGGUGAGGCAUCUUCUAAGGGGAAGGAAACUGCUGACCAGUGUGCGUGUCUCGAGACUACGACAUUGGACUGGGUUGUGCAGGACAGGCAGUAGGGUGACCUACCUUUUUUUUUCCCCCCUUGUUUAAGUUAGUUCAGUCUGCAUGUAAAUUUUAUGGAUCCACUAGACUUGAAUUUUGUGUACUAUUUCUGUACUUUGUUGUUGUAUCUUUUUGGUUGUAUGUGGAACCUUAGCUGGUCCUGUUGCGUACCUUAUAUCUUUUUUUAGUAAGUUGUGUUAGCAGGGUUGUUUUGGAGCCUGACGGUGACUAGGGGGUGGGAUGCUGUAGGGUCCCCUCCUUGUUGUCGUGGAGAUUGCCACGUGCCCGGCUAGGAUCAAGGCGUGACAAUAGCGCUACGACCUCCACCGCAUCAAGAUUAAGCAUCAUCAGGAUCAUUUCUAAAACCAUAGUAAGACUGAUCAUCAUCAUCACCAUCGUCAUCAUCAUUAUCAUUUGUAACAUCAUCAAAAAUACUGAGCAGCAAGACCUCCGUUGCAAUAAGCUUUCUUUUUAUAAAAUAAGUUUACAUCUUUUC